rnacentral:rRNA from 1 species
AUGGCGAUGCUGAAGAAGAACACGAACUCCCUGAUGUGCUGCGGCUUCGCGGCCGCUCUCAUGGUGGUCAUGGCUGCCACCCUCCUCGUCUUCUCAUGCGAUGCCCGCGAAGAGAUGGAUGAUCUUGCUGCUUCUUUUGUGCCGGCGUCGUGCUACUCCAACUACUUCCCACACUGCACCGACCACCGGUGCAAGAAGUUCUGCGGCGGCGCCCGCGAGCCGCCGGUCCCCGGAGCCUUCUGCAACGACCGAAGCAACUGCUGCUGCCCCGUUAGUUGA